AUUGAACGCUGGCGGCAGGCCUAACACAUGCAAGUCGAGCGAGCGGCGGAAGGGUGAGUAAUGUAUGGGGACUGCCCGAUAGAGGGGGAUAACUACUGUAAACGGUAGCUCAUACCACAUACUAUAGGAUAACCCAUAUGGGAUUAGCUAGUAGGUGAGGUAAUGGCUCACCUAGGCGACGAUCCCUAGCUGUGCUGAGAGGAGGAUCAGCCACACUGGGACUGAGACACGGCCCAGACUCCUACGGAGGCAGCAGUGGGGAAUAUUGCACAAUGGGCGCAAGCCUGAUGCAGCCAUGCCGCGUGUAUGAAGAAGGCCCUAGGGUUGUAAAGUACUUUCAGUCGGGAGGCGUUACCGACAGAAGAAGCACCGGCUAACUCCGUGCCUGCAGCCGCGGUAAUUC
rnacentral:rRNA from 1 species